ensembl:lncRNA
CGGGGCCUCCGACUGCGCACCCGGCCAGGUUCCGGAGAGCGGGCAGGGAGCGCGGGCCGAGGCUGCCCUCGCGCCCCUGGCUGCCGGCCUAAGGGCUCGCUCGCACGCACGCCUCCGCUCGUCACCCUCGCCUUGCCGGCGUGCGGACAGGGCCUGCGGCGGUGGGAAAUCUGGGAAAUCGGAGCGCAGCGCAGGACCGCGCGGGAGGCCGGCGGGACGCAGCGCGCACAGACCCCGGGCUGCCCCGACAAAGCACCGUACAUGGCCUGGGCGGCUUAUUCCCGACAGACGUGGAUUUCCUGUUCCAAGGCUGGGCGUCCAAGCUGGGGUGCACCCGGCGGCCUGUGCUCGCUCCCCACUGCCAUCUCCUCACAUGGUGCGCUUGCCCUGUGACCAGUUGGGGGCAUGGGCCUCUGGCCCCCUGCAGUCAUCCUUUCGGUGUCCAGCACAGCAACAACCACAGACAUGGCAGGAAGGCCUGUAGCCAGGAGAGGGGACCCCAGCGCACCCCAGGAGCUGCCCCGGAGCAGCCCGCUCCCCAUGACUGCGGCCACAGAGACCGUGAGAAGCAGCGAGAGACACUGCUGAGGCCACUGCAUUCUAGCGUGGUUUGUUAGGCAGCCAGAAGCAACCAGAAGAAACCGGGUUUAUGUUUUAAAAAUAAACAUUUUAUUGAAACAUCACAGGGAAGGGACAGGGAAGCCCCCCGCCAGGGCAGCAGGCCCAUCAGGACGCAGCGUGUGCCCCUGGACGGCCCCCGGGGUGACCCCGCAGCCCACAGAGUGGCCUGGCAGGCGCAGAGGGAGACACAGCUCCCGGGCCAGUGUAGGUCUGCUCGCCCCUCCCUGUGGUGCACUAGGUCCCGUGGUGGCUGCCCUGAGCCUGGGCUCCCUGGUCCUCCUGGCCCGGUUGUGCUCCACGACGCAGUGGACACAGCUGUUGUCCCUUCUGCUGCAGUCACUGAGACCACCUGUGUGGGGUGUUUCUGCCGGGGGCUCAGGCCCUCGCCUGUGCACACCCCAGUCAGGGCUCGGUGCCCUCACUGCUGCCUCUCUCCCAGGGCCCUCGACGCUGCCACUACUGCCUGCUGGUGGCCUGGGCAGCUGGGCCAGCUGCCAAGUGACGCUGGCUCCUUUGGUUCCGAGUCAUGGACUUUAGAAGGUAGUACCCUGAGCCACAUGGGCGCCCCGCACCUGGCGCCCCACCUGGGAAAGCCCACCUGGUGUCCCCCACGGGUCUCUCAUGACCACAUGCAUCGGCGGGGCCUGGGGAGGCCCGGCCCGGGAGCGCUUUGUGCAGGGAGGAGUCCUAGGCCCCGGGCGACGGUGCCGGGUGGGAGACACUCAGAGCAGGGGGUAGACCCUCAACGCAGGACGCCGGGGUCAGGGCUGCUGCCCCAGGGGGUGCACGUGUACAUGGUCCUCGGCUUCUCGUGCCCACUCGAGGAGGCAGUUGGCCACACCUUCCAACUGCCAGCUUCCAAGACAGAGAAGACAGCGUCUGCUGUUUUAAGCCACCAGUCCAGGGGCUAAAUCCAGAUUUCUGUGCCUCAUCUUCCACAUAGGAAUAUAUGCAUGCUUUUGCUAAAUAAAGACAUAGCAUUAUAAGUCUGUAGGUAAUGAGUCAAAUUCAUUGACUUGUGUUAGAAAGAUAGGAUUUUCUUCGUGCAUUUUCUGUGCUGAUGCAGAUAGAAAACCAAGACCACAAAGGGCCCCUCUUGUUUUAAUUGUUUCAUUCCUUUAAACAACAAACACUGGCUGAAACAAACAGAAAAGUAUUUUUUUCAUGAACCAAACAGAAAGGGAUCAGUGCACUUAACUGAUCACCCGUUCCCACCAGCGUAGAGACAGACGCGGGCCUGAGACAGAGAUGUGGGGUGCGGCAUCUGGGUUUUGGGGUUUUCUCUUCUGAGGGAUGAGACAGGAGCCUUCCGAGAAAUGCACCCGGCGAGCCGCCCCAGGCCGCUGUGUCAGCCCUGCCGACUGCCUGAGGUAUGAGCUGAUCUCCGGCAGCUCUGCUUCGCCUG